UAAUCUGCUUCCAGAGAUUGCAAACUACCAGCAGGUCCAACCAUGUCAGAGAGGUCUUGGCCGAGGAGCAGAACUGAGUGCACCCAACAACUCAUGCAAUGAAUCAUGGUGAAACACAACCAAACGAAGCC